rnacentral:rRNA from 1 species
CAAGGAAUUUUCUCCAAUGGGCGCAAGCCUGAGGGAGCAACGCCGCGUGCAGGACGACGGCUUUCGGGUUGUAAACUGCUUUUGCGUGGGACGAUAACGACGGUACCACGCGAAUAAGCCCCGGCUAACUCUGUGCCAGCAGCCGCGGUAAUACAGAGGGGGCAAGCGUUGUCCGGACUUACUGGGCGUAAAGCGCACGCAGGUGGUAAGGCAAGUGGGGUGUGAAAGCCGCCAGCUUAACUGGCGGAGGCCAUCCCAAACUGCUUCGCUUGAGGCCUGUAGAGGUAUGGGGAGUUGCCGGUGUAGUGGUGAAAUGCGUAGGGAUCGGCAGGAACACCCAGGGGGAAACCAGCAUACUGGACAGGACCUGACACUCAGGUGCGACAGCGGGGGGAGCGAACCGGAUUAGAUACCCGUGUAGUCC